rnacentral:rRNA from 1 species
GACGAACCGUGCGAACGUUAUUCGGAAUCACUGGGCUUAAAGGGCGCGUAGGCGGGUCACCAAGUCCGGGGUGAAAUCCCACGGCCCAACCGUGGAAGUGCCUUGAAUACUGAUGACCUCGAGGGGGAUAGGGGCGUGCGGAACUCAGGGUGGAGCGGUGAAAUGCGUAGAUAUCCUGAGGAACACCGGUGGCGAAAGCGGCGCGCUGGAUCCCUUCUGACGCUGAGGCGCGAAAGCCAGGGGAGCAAACGGG